GGGAGGAGUCGGCGCGGGGCUGGGGCUGGGAGGGGAGUUUAUUUAUUAGCCAGAUUAGCCAGCAUUAAUGGGGGAGCGGUGGCGGCCGGCGGCAGCAGGGACAUAGCUGGCAUAGCUGGCAUAGCGGCGGGGCCUCCUGCGGCGCGGGGCUCCGCGGCUUCAAAGGGGCUUAAAGAGGCCCUUGGUGGCACUGCCACGGCCCCGCGGGGGAGGGCGUGGGCGCGGGCGGCGGGGGAGAAGGCGGCCAUUGUGCACCGAGGGAUUAGGGCUCUGGCCUGGAAGGAAUUUUAAACUGCCGCGAGCCGGAGCCCCAGGACUCUCCUCCUGCCCCACCCCUGCCCUCCGGAGCACGCUGAGGUGUUUACCUGCUUUCCUAUGUCUGGGGUGGAGGGGGUGUCCUCUCUCCUCCCUCAAACUGGAGGCACCUAGGGUUACCAGAUCUGGCAAAUAAAAACACAAGACUUCCAGUUAAACUGGAUACUUUAAAUAGUGUAAGUCUGUCCCAAAUAUUGUAUGGGACAGACUUAUGCUAAAAUAUUAUUCGUUGUUUAUCUGAUAUUCAAUUUAAUUGGACGUCUUGUAUUUUUUUUCCUGGCAGCCCUUGAGGCAUUGAAAUCUCUAAUCCAUGUCUGGAAACAGAUUGAUGGUUCCCGAAAGUCCAGUGGGUAUGCCUCAUUUGAGAGAUCCCUAAGGGCAGGGUCGUGUCUCUCCCCUUACACUGGGAGUUUCCUGAAGCCCAGAUACUGAGUUUCACCCUAAAGAAGGCAGCUCUGAGAGCACUAUAUGUGUCCCCCGUCAGACUGGGAGCUUCCUGAGGACAGGGGCUAAAUUUCACCCAUGAGAGUAACGCUUCAAGGUCAGUGUCUGUGACCUGUGACACUGGGGUUUCCUGAGGCAUGGUCUGUCCGCUUCCUAGAGGGCAAGUCUCUCUCCUCCCUCACGUCUCACUCUCCCACCCCCACCCCACCCCAGGCUGCUGGAGGCUCCUCCUCCAUUAGUGUUGCUUCCUGCCCAUAGGGGGUGCUAGGGGCCCAGCGGACUGGCCUACGGAUGGAUGGGACCUGUUUAUUGGGACUCGGGGCUUCAGUCCUUCGGGGUUGAUGCACUUGAGAAUAAUGAGGGUGGGGUCCCCAACCUGUGAGGCUUGCUGAGGCAGUUGAGGGCCAGGUCUACUGGGGCCAGAGGCGGUGGCCAGCAUGUGGGAGAAGCUCUGGGUGCUGGGUACCCACUGUUUCUUCCAGGAAGGGACAGUGUGGCCCUUGGUACAGAACAUCCUGCCCACCUCCUCUCAUAACCAUUGAAGCCAAGCCCCAGUCCUCCACCAGCCUCUCCAGACCCCACUGCCUAACCUUUGCUUGUGCUGUUCUUUCUGCCAGAAACACUCUGUCUUCCUGCUUUGAGGACAGCUGAAGUCUUGCCACUUCUUCUGGAUGCUCUGACCAUCAGUAAGCCACCUCAGUCUCACCCUCCGCAGAAUGCAGGCCCACUCCGUUGCUGAAGGGCCUCCUCCUUGGGCCAGGGCGCCUGCUUCUGCCAGUGGCAUCAUCACCCCACUCCUCAGCCGCCAGUCAUCAGAGACACGGUCUGACUUUGUUACCCCGGCUGGAGUGCAGUGGUGCAAUCAUGGCUCACUGCAGCCUUAACCUCCUGGGCUCAAGUGAUCCUCUCGCCAAGGCUAGGAUAAGUAGCUAGGACUACAGAUGCGCCCCAUCACGCCCAGCUAAUUUUACAACUUCUGUAGAGAUGGAGUGUUGCUGGGUUGCCCAGGCUGGUCUUGAAUUCCUGGGCUCAAGCGAUCCUCCUGUGUCCGGAAUUGGUGGGUUCUUGGUCUCACUGACUUCAAGAAUGAAGCCGCGGACCCUCGCGGUGAGUGUUACAGUUCUUAAAGACAGCGUGUCCAGAGUUUGUUCCUUCUGAUGUUCAGAUGUGUUCAGAGUUUCUUCCUUCUGGUGGGUUCGUGGUCUCGCUGGCUUAGGGGUGAAGCUGCAGACCUUCGCGGUGAGUGUUACAGUUCUUAGGGCGGCGCGUCUGGAGUUGUCUGUUCCUCCCGGUGGGCUCGUAGUCUCGCUGGCUUCAGGAGUGAAGCUGCAGACCUUCGCGGUGAGUGUUACAGCUCAUAAAGGCAGCGUGGACCUACAGAGUGAGCAGUAGCAAGAUUUAUUGCAAAGAGCAAAAGAACAAAGCUUCCACAGCGUGGAAAGGGAUCCCAGC
rnacentral:lncRNA from 10 species